rnacentral:rRNA from 2 species
UUAAAAUGAGAGUUUGAUCCUGGCUCAGGACGAACGCUGGCGGCGUGCCUAAUACAUGCAAGUCGAACGAAACUUUCUUACACCGAAUGCUUGCAUUCACCGUAAGAAGUUGAGUGGCGGACGGGUGAGUAACACGUGGGUAACCUGCCUAAAAGAAGGGGAUAACACUUGGAAACAGGUGCUAAUACCGUAUAUCUCUAAGGAUCGCAUGAUUUUUAGAUGAAAGAUGGUUCUGCUAUCGCUUUUAGAUGGACCCGCGGCGUAUUAACUAGUUGGUGGGGUAACGGCCUACCAAGGUGAUGAUACGUAGCCGAACUGAGAGGUUGAUCGGCCACAUUGGGACUGAGACACGGCCCAAACUCCUACGGGAGGCAGCAGUAGGGAAUCUUCCACAAUGGACGCAAGUCUGAUGGAGCAACGCCGCGUGAGUGAAGAAGGUCUUCGGAUCGUAAAACUCUGUUGUUAGAGAAGAACACGAGUGAGAGUAACUGUUUAUUCGAUGACGGUAUCUAACCAGCAAGUCACGGCUAACUACGUGCCAGCAGCCGAGGUAAUACGUAGGUGGCAAGCGUUGUCCGGAUUUAUUGGGCGUAAAGGGAACGCAGGCGGUCUUUUAAGUCUGAUGUGAAAGCCUUCGGCUUAACCGGAGUAGUGCAUUGGAAACUGGAAGACUUGAGUGCAGAAGAGGAGAGUGGAACUCCAUGUGUAGCGGUGAAAUGCGUAGAUAUAUGGAAGAACACCAGUGGCGAAAGCGGCUCUCUGGUCUGUAACUGACGCUGAGGUUCGAAAGCGUGGGUAGCAAACAGGAUUAGAUACCCUGGUAGUCCACGCCGUAAACGAUGAAUGCUAGGUGUUGGAGGGUUUCCGCCCUUCAGUGCCGCAGCUAACGCAAUAAGCAUUCCGCCUGGGGAGUACGACCGCAAGGUUGAAACUCAAAGGAAUUGACGGGGGCCCGCACAAGCGGUGGAGCAUGUGGUUUAAUUCGAAGCAACGCGA